CCAUAACACGUUGAAACACCAGUUCUUGUACGAUCACCGAAGUUAAGCAACGUCGAGAAUAGUCAGUACAUAGAUGGGUGGCCGCUUGGAAAUGCCAGGUACUGUAAG